rnacentral:rRNA from 1 species
CACGUAGGGCGCAAGCGUUGUCCGGAAUUAUUGGGCGUAAAGAGCUCGUAGGCGGUCUGUUACGUCCGCUGUGAAAACCCAGGGCUUAACCCUGGGCUUGCAGUGGAUACGGGCAGACUAGAGGCAGGUAGGGGAGAAUGGAAUUCCCGGUGUAGCGGUGAAAUGCGCAGAUAUCGGGAGGAACACCGGUGGCGAAGGCGGUUCUCUGGGCCUGACCUGACGCUGAGGAGCGAAAGCGUGGGAGCGAACAGG